ensembl:lincRNA
ACAUGGUUAUUUUCUGCUCAGGGUGAAUUCAUGGUAAAGUUAGCCCAUUGUUUAUUCAGGUUUCUAGACCCUGUCGAGGCCACCAUGUUUUCAGAUAAAAUGUGGAUCAUUACAUCUUUUUCUUUAAAAACAUACUUCAGUUAGAUGGCAUUGAAGAUCUCUCUUUUCAAAUGACCCUGCUUCUAUCAAGUUGACAGAAAAGGAAAAAAAAAAAAAAAAGCAAGAAGCAAGAAGCAUGCCGAAUAACAAGCCAACCUAAAACUGUGUGUGGCUGCAACAUGAGGUAGCAGAACACAAGACAGCUGGAGCUACUCUAUCCAGAGUCAUUCACCUUGAGCCCUAGCACAGGAGACAGAAGGCUUUAUUCAAAAAAGAAGUCAGGACUUUUCAGAAGUUCUUGAGAACUAGAAACAGCACCCACACUAUGAUGAUACUCUACAUAGCUCAUGAGACAAAGCAAACAGUAUCAAACCCACAGUGCAGGUUAGAGAAAUACAGUUUUGCCAUGGAAAUAGAGAAUUAUUUCCCAUGGAGGUGAAAAUUAUUGCCAGGAUUAGUAGACUUUGAAGUCAUUUAAGGAUGAAUCAGACUUUCAUGAUCAGCUUUGAAUCCUAUCUCUCAUUUUCCUGGUCACAAGCAAGAGAAGCUUCACAAUUGCCCUGUUUGGCAUUUAAGAUACCAUGUAAAAAUGAACGAACAAAACAAAACAUGGAGAUAUCAGGGCAUUGUCCAGGGAGAGAUGCUUCCUCCUUGUUUAAAGAAUGAAGUUUGAGUUUUACCUCUGGUCCUGGAUGGUGUCCAGGGAGAGAUACUUCCUCCUUGUUUAAAGAAUGAAGUUUGAGUUUU